UAUGGAGAGUUUGAUCCUGGCUCAGAGUGAACGCUGGCGGCGUGCCUAAUACAUGCAAGUCGAACGAUGAAGCUUCUAGCUUGCUAGAAUGCUGAUUAGUGGCGCACGGGUGAGUAACGCAUAGGUUAUGUGCCUCUUAGUUUGGGAUAGCCAUUGGAAACGAUGAUUAAUACCAGAUACUCCCUACGGGGGAAAGAUUUAUCGCUAAGAGAUCAGCCUAUGUCCUAUCAGCUUGUUGGUAAGGUAAUGGCUUACCAAGGCUAUGACGGGUAUCCGGCCUGAGAGGGUGAACGGACACACUGGAACUGAGACACGGUCCAGACUCCUACGGGAGGCAGCAGUAGGGAAUAUUGCUCAAUGGGGGAAACCCUGAAGCAGCAACGCCGCGUGGAGGAUGAAGGUUUUAGGAUUGUAAACUCCUUUUGUUAGAGAAGAUAAUGACGGUAUCUAACGAAUAAGCACCGGCUAACUCCGUGCCAGCAGCCGCGGUAAUACGGAGGGUGCAAGCGUUACUCGGAAUCACUGGGCGUAAAGAGCGCGUAGGCGGGAUAGUCAGUCAGGUGUGAAAUCCUAUGGCUUAACCAUAGAACUGCAUUUGAAACUACUAUUCUAGAGUGUGGGAGAGGUAGGUGGAAUUCUUGGUGUAGGGGUAAAAUCCGUAGAGAUCAAGAGGAAUACUCAUUGCGAAGGCGACCUGCUGGAACAUUACUGACGCUGAUUGCGCGAAAGCGUGGGGAGCAAACAGGAUUAGAUACCCUGGUAGUCCACGCCCUAAACGAUGGAUGCUAGUUGUUGGAGGGCUUAGUCUCUCCAGUAAUGCAGCUAACGCAUUAAGCAUCCCGCCUGGGGAGUACGGUCGCAAGAUUAAAACUCAAAGGAAUAGACGGGGACCCGCACAAGCGGUGGAGCAUGUGGUUUAAUUCGAGGAUACACGAAGAACCUUACCUAGGCUUGACAUUGAGAGAAUCCGCUAGAAAUAGUGGAGUGUCUGGCUUGCCAGACCUUGAAAACAGGUGCUGCACGGCUGUCGUCAGCUCGUGUCGUGAGAUGUUGGGUUAAGUCCCGCAACGAGCGCAACCCCCUUUCUUAGUUGCUAACAGGUUAUGCUGAGAACUCUAAGGAUACUGCCUCCGUAAGGAGGAGGAAGGUGGGGACGACGUCAAGUCAUCAUGGCCCUUACGCCUAGGGCUACACACGUGCUACAAUGGGGUGCACAAAGAGAAGCAAUACUGUGAAGUGGAGCCAAUCUUCAAAACACCUCUCAGUUCGGAUUGUAGGCUGCAACUCGCCUGCAUGAAGCUGGAAUCGCUAGUAAUCGCAAAUCAGCCAUGUUGCGGUGAAUACGUUCCCGGGUCUUGUACUCACCGCCCGUCACACCAUGGGAGUUGUGUUUGCCUUAAGUCAGGAUGCUAAAUUGGCUACUGCCCACGGCACACACAGCGACUGGGGUGAAGUCGUAACAAGGUAACCGUAGGUGAACCUGCGGUUGGAUCACCUCCUU
rnacentral:rRNA from 1 species